rnacentral:rRNA from 1 species
GAUGAACGCUGGCGGCGUGCCUAAUACAUGCAAGUCGAGCGAACAGACGAGGAGCUUGCUCCUCUGACGUUAGCGGCGGACGGGUGAGUAACACGUGGAUAACCUACCUAUAAGACUGGGAUAACUUCGGGAAACCGGAGCUAAUACCGGAUAAUAUAUUGAACCGCCUGGUUCAAUAGUGAAAGACGGUUUUGCUGUCACUUAUAGAUGGAUCCGCGCCGCAUUAGCUAGUUGGUAAGGUAACGGCUUACCAAGGCAACGAUGCGUAGCCGACCUGAGAGGGUGAUCGGCCACACUGGAACUUAGACACGGUCCAGACUCCUACGGGAGGCAGCAGUAGGGAAUCUUCCGCAAUGGGCGAAAGCUUGACGGAGCAACGCCGCGUGAGUGAUGAAGGUCUUCGGAUCGUAAAACUCUGUUAUUAGGGAAGAACAAAUGUGUAAGUAACUAUGCACGUCUUGACGGUACCUAAUCAGAAAGCCACGGCUAACUACGUG